GAUGAACGCUGGCGGCGUGCCUAAUACAUGCAAGUCGAGCGAACAGAUAAGGAGCUUGCUCCUUUGAAGUUAGCGGCGGACGGGUGAGUAACACGUGGGUAACCUACCUAUAAGACUGGGAUAACUUCGGGAAACCGGAGCUAAUACCGGAUAACAUUUAGAACCGCAUGGUUCUAAAGUGAAAGAUGGUUUCGCUAUCACUUAUAGAUGGACCCGCGCCGUAUUAGCUAGUUGGUAAGGUAACGGCUUACCAAGGCGACGAUACGUAGCCGACCUGAGAGCGUGAUCGGCCACACUGGAACUGGGACACGGUCCAGACUCCUACGGGAGGCAGCAGUAGGGAAUCUUCCGCAAUGGGCGAAAGCCUGACGGAGCAACGCCGCGUGAGUGAUGAAGGGUUUCGGCUCGUAAAACUCUGUUAUUAGGGAAGAACAAAUGUGUAAGUAACUGUGCACAUCUUGACGGUACCUAAUCAGAAAGCCACGGCUAACUACGUGCCAGCCGCCGCGGUAA
rnacentral:rRNA from 1 species